AGUUCACCUUCUGAUGUAGAUAAUGGUUCUAGUUCUCUAACAAGAACUGAAAUAAACUAUAAAUUGAUGUGUUUUCAAUGGAGUGGUAGGCCAGCAAGGUAGAGAAGCUUUAGUCUCUUUUGUGUGAAGAGAAAUCAGAAGGAAAAUGUCAUCAGUGAAGGCUGAUAAACCUGCUGGUUCUCAACCAGUUCCACAGGCCAAGAAGGAGCCUACUAAAUCCCCAGCCUCUAUCCAGGCUCCAAAGAAGAUCGAGCAAAAACCUCAAGAGCCUAAGAAGAAGGCAUCAGGUGGCAGAUCAGCAACAGCAAAGAAGAAAUAAGAAGGAUGAGUGUCUUAGCAGAAGCUCAGUGUCUAUCUGCCAAUGAAGCAUGUGAUUUUUAAUCGAUAGUAUGAAAUCACUGGCUUGUAAUCUUUAUCUAUGUAGUCCUAUCCAGGCCCAGCCUAACUAAAUAAAUCAUAAAUAUUUAAAAGGA